ACGCUCGACACCUACGGGGCAGCAGUUGGGAAUAUUGGACAAUGGAGGAAACUCUGAUCCAGUGACGCCGCGUGAAGGAAGAAGGUCUUCGGAUUGUAAACUUAUUUUGUCAGGGAAGAAAAAUGACUGUACCUGAAGAAAAAGCACCGGCUAACUACGUGUCAGCAGCCGCGGUAAUCUGAGCGGGCUGGCAAGGC
rnacentral:rRNA from 1 species